GGGCCCGCACAAGCAGUGGAGUAUGUGGUUUAAUUCGAAGCAACGCGAAGAACCUUACCAGGGCUUGACAUAUAUCGGAAUACAUAAGAGAUUAUGUAGUUCUUCGGAACUGAUAUACAGGUGGUGCAUGGUUGUCGUCAGCUCGUGUCGUGAGAUGUUGGGUUAAGUCCCGCAACGAGCGCAACCCCUGUUUCUAGUUGCCAGCACGUAAUGGUCGGGAACUCUAGAGUAGACUGCCGGUGACAAAUCGGAGGAAGGUGGGGACGACGUCAAAUCAUCAUGCCCUUUAUGUCCUGGGCUACACACGUACUACAAUGGGUGUAACAGAGGGAAGCGAAGUAGUGAUACUAAGCGGAACCCGAAAAGCACUCUCAGUUCGGAUUGAAGGCUGAAAUUCGCCUUCAUGAAGCUGGAAUUGCUAGUAAUGGCAGGUCAGCAUACUG
rnacentral:rRNA from 1 species